GUGUUGCUUAGUUUUCAGUUUUUCUAUGUUGUGCCUUAUGUAUCAUUGUUUGUCUGUUUGUCUUUUUCUUUUUUAGCCAUGGUGUUGUCAGUUUACUUGCGAUCUACGAGUUUGAAUGUCUCUGUGGUACAUUUCGCCUUUUUUAAACAAAAGUUAAAACUCUCGAAGAAAUAUUUGUCUAGAAUUGGUACCAAUACGUUUCAUAGUAGUUUUUAAAUUUAACAAAAUUAAUCUAUUAACAAAUCAUAUUCUAAGCUAAACUAAUGAUACCCGAUGAUAUCU
rnacentral:lncRNA from 1 species